AUGGCUACAAACUGCAGCAGAAUAUUUACAUUUAGAGAUUUAGUUAGAGGUAACAGUUGUGUACGGAAUCCCUGGUUAUGCCAAACGCUUGCUGCUGUAGAAUGUUUCCAAAAUCAACAUAUGAAACAUUCUCUACUAAGUUGUUUCAGCAUUUCCAGUCUGACCCAAGGUUGGAAAAGGAAAAGUUUUGACAAACAGAUUUUAUAG